GAUGAACGCUGGCGGCGUGCUUAACACAUGCAAGUCGAACGGGAAACCUUUUAUUGAAGCUUCGGCAGAUUUAGCUGGUUUCUAGUGGCGGACGGGUGAGUAACGCGUGGGUAACCUGCCCUAUACAGGGGGAUAACAACCAGAAAUGAUUGCUAAUACCGCAUAAGCGCACAGGACCGCAUGGUCCGGUGUGAAAAACUCCGGUGGUAUAGGAUGGACCCGCGUUGGAUUAGCUUGUUGGUGGGGUAACGGCCCACCAAGGCGACGAUCCAUAGCCGGCCUGAGAGGGUGAACGGCCACAUUGGGACUGAGACACGGCCCAGACUCCUACGGGAGGCAGCAGUGGGGAAUAUUGCACAAUGGGGGAAACCCUGAUGCAGCGACGCCGCGUGAAGGAAGAAGUAUCUCGGUAUGUAAACUUCUAUCAGCAGGGAAGAUAGUGACGGUACCUGACUAAGAAGCCCCGGCUA
rnacentral:rRNA from 1 species